rnacentral:tRNA from 1 species
AGCGGGUAUAGUUUAGUGGUAAAAGUGCGAUUCGUUCCCUUCCAAGCUAACGAUGCGGGUUCGAUUCCCGCUACCCGCUU